rnacentral:rRNA from 1 species
GACGAACCGAGCGAACGUUGUUCGGAAUCACUGGGCUUAAAGGGCGCGUAGGCGGGCUGUCAAGUUUGGGGUGAAAUCCCGCGGCUCAACCGUGGAACUGCCUCAAAUACUGACGGUCUCGAGGGAGGUAGGGGCGAGCGGAACUGAUGGUGGAGCGGUGAAAUGCGUUGAUAUCCUAAGGAACACCGGUGGCGAAAGCGGCUCACUGGAUCUCUUCUGACGCUGAUGCACGAAAGCUAGGGUAGCGAACGGG